rnacentral:rRNA from 1 species
CCUACGGGAGGCAGCAGUGGGGAAUUUUGGACAAUGGGGGAAACCCUGAUCCAGCAAUGCCGCGUGAGUGAAGAAGGCCUUCGGGUUGUAAAGCUCUUUUGUCAGGGAAGAAACACCGGCUCUAACACAGUCCGGGAAUGACGGUACCUGAAGAAUAAGCACCGGCUAACUACGUGCCAGCAGCCGCGGUAAUACGUAGGGUGCGAGCGUUAAUCGGAAUUACUGGGCGUAAAACGUGCGCAGGCGGUUAUACAAGACAGGCGUGAAAUCCCCGGGCUUAACCUGGGAAUGGCGCCUGUGACUGUAUAGCUAGAGUGUGUCAGAGGGGGGUAGAAUUCCACGUGUAGCAGUGAAAUGCGUAGAUAUGUGGAGGAAUACCAAUGGCGAAGGCAGCCCCCUGGGAUAACACUGACGCUCAUGCACGAAAGCGUGGGGAGCAAACAGGAUUAGAUACCCUGGUAGUCCACGCCCUAAACGAUGCUGACUAGUUGUUCGGGAUUUACAUCCUGAGUAACGUAGCUAACGCGUGAAGUCAGCCGCCUGGGGAGUACGGUCGCAAGAUUAAAACUCAAAGGAAUUGACGGCCCUACGGGAGGCAGCAAACUCAAAUGAAUUGACGG